UUACUAUUGUUUUUGUGGUGUUGAGCAUGACAUUCGCUUCGGUUUGUUUGUGGUUUCGCAUGCAUGCAAUUCAGUUUCAUUUUUCAGUUUUCAUUUUUGGCUUUCGGUUCGGUUUGCAGUUUGGCGUUUUCAGUUUCGGUUUCAGUUGCGCCGAUGCGUUCAGUCUCUUGCCGACUAUGAGAGUGACAACAAGUUUGCGGUGUUUAUGCCACUUUUCAAUUCAGCGCUCAAAUUGACGGUGUCUGUCCGUUAAAAAAAACGUUUAGUGCGUUAGUCAAACUAAAAAUUGUGACUUAACAACAAGAACAACAAUUGUUGAUAUUUUUUGUGUGCUGCUGGCUGAAGCGUAACGUGUUGCAUUGUGCAAGAAAUAAAAGUAGUAAAUAAAAAUGAAAAUUUGUAAAAAAUUGAAAACUAAAAAUGAAAUAAUAAUGAGGUAAAAAUUAAAAAAAAAAAAAUUGGUAAAAAAUGCAAAAAUAAUAAUUAAAUAAUUAUUAAAGAAAAUUUGCAGUAUAGAAGAGUAAAAUAGAAACGGAUAUAAAAAUGUUUGGAAAAUUUAGUGAAUAUGCACAAAAGUAAAAGCAAAGGCUCGUAAUGAAAAGAUAAAAUGUGAAAUAAAUGAAAAUUGCAUAUCAAACAACAAAAAAAAAAGAAUUUAUAAAAUCGGUUAUUGUAAAAAAUGUGUUUGAAAUACUUCUAUGAAAAAAUUUAAAUUGAUAUUUGAAGCCAGAAUAAAAAUAGUAUUAAAAAAUAUUAAUAAAAACACUAAAACUAAAAAAAUAAAAAAUUUUAUUUAAUUAUUAUAUCUUAAAAUAAAUAAUAAUUAAUCAUAAGCUUAAUAAAAAAUAAUCUUAAUGCUGAAUUACUAAAAAAAAAAUAUUGGCUGGAAGUGUGACCAAAGGCCAGCCAAGAAGUUUACGAAAAUUCUAACGGUGGCAACUUCAUAUCAAUUUUGCUUCUAUAUUCAUUAGAUCUACUUAAUAAUGUUUACAAAAAAUAAUUAAAAAUAUAUGGCGUAUAAACCAAAACUUAAGUAAAACAACAGCAUAUAAAUACACUACAGUAUGUGCAAAAGUUAAGCAUACCACGCAAUAAUUCGAAAUAAUGAAAUACAAAAAAAUGUGCAAAAACAACAUUUAUACCGGAAGUUCAACAUAGACAAAAUAAUUGCCAGAGUUAGAGCUUCAUAGCGGCCACCGAAGACGGUAUAUUCUGGAAUUUCAAUCAAGUCAAUUUAUAUAUAGAUAUACCCAACCACACACAUAUUACAUACAUACGGUACAUAUAUGUAGGUGAGAUGUGCAAUUAUUGGCCCUUCAACGCUCACAGUGCAUUUUUGUGGCCGCUGGUGUUUUGAAAAUCUAUGAUAAAUGCAAUUUGCCAGCGCGAAAUGUGUGAAUCGGCGACCGCAAAAUUAAAAAGUUCGCAAUAAAAUUGCCUAGCAAAGGCAAGAAAGUGCUUGUGGUGGCUGCAAUUUGAUUGCAACAAAGCUGCCAUGCACUAGUGUGCAUUUUUUGGAGAACCGCGUCUAGCCAUACAGGUUUUGUGUGAAAAAUGUAAAUAAGUAUGUGCGAAAAUAUACACAAAAAGCAAAAGAAAAAAGAAAAAAGGCAUUUAAUUGCAGCGCGCAUGUGUUGAGCUCAUAUAAAGUUGCAAAAUGCAUAUGAUUAAAAAAUCAAAAUGACAUUCUUGAUGUGAGAAGUUUGUAGAAAAAAAUAAGAAAACGCAACAACAAAAGUGUCGUAAAGCAAAGCAAUAAGCAAAGAACAUUAAUUACUCAAUCAUAAAUUUCAAAAGUUGUGCAAUAAAAAUAUGAACGUAUUUUCACAAAGAAGCUUUAACGAGCGAAAUCACAUGGUCCACCCCUUUUAAGGUGUAUUACGAAGAUUCAAAGUUAGCCGCACAGAUAGGUAAGUA